rnacentral:rRNA from 1 species
CCUACGGGAGGCAGCAGUGGGGAAUAUUGCACAAUGGGGGAAACCCUGAUGCAGCGACGCCGCGUGAGUGAAGAAGUAUCUCGGUACGUAAAGCUCUAUCAGCAGGGAAGAAAAUGACGGUACGUGACUAAGAAGCACCGGCUAACUACGUGCCAGCAGCCGCGGUAAUACGUAGGGGGCAAGCGUUAUCCGGAUUUACUGGGUGUAAAGGGAGCGUAGACGGCUAAUCAAGUCAGAAGUGAAAACCCAGGGCUCAACCUUGGGACUGCUUUUGAAACUGGGUAGCUAGAGUGCGGGAGAGGUAAGCGGAAUUCCUAGUGUAGCGGUGAAAUGCGUAGAUAUUAGGAGGAACACCAGUGGCGAAGGCGGCUUACUGGACUGUAACUGACGUUGAGGCUCGAAAGCGUGGGGAGCAAACAGGAUUAGAUACCCCAGUAGUC